rnacentral:snRNA from 1 species
UUAGAUGACGUUUAAAAUAAAUCAGAUAUACAUAGAAAAUUAGCGUGGCCCCUGCACAAGGAUGACAUGCAAACUCGUGAAACACUCCAUAUUUUU